rnacentral:pre_miRNA from 1 species
AGCACAAUUGCUGAGUCAUAUGGUAAGAGCAUGUUUAUUUUUGUAGGAAACUGCCAAACUGUCUUCCAAAGUGGCUGUACCAUCUUGCAUUCCCGCCAGCAAU